GUCGUCUCUAUUUCGUACAUAAAGCGGUCCAAAAAACGUUGUGCGGUCCUAAACUAAUUCAACAUUAACUUUUAGCGUUCUACUUUGACGUUUUUUAACGUUUAUAAGUUCAACAACAACGCAUCUAGUUUCUGCACGGCCCCUUUAUAUGUGGGCGUUUCGUUCCAUACUAGUGAAUACCUAGUAAAUAUACGUAUAAUUAUGUGCAUAUAUUAAAGGAUGCACUAACACACUCCUUGCGAUCGAAGUGUUAAGGCCCUGUCACACUAUUGCGUAUGAGAGAAACGUAUGAGAAGCGUAUGAAAAUUAAUUAAAUAAUUUUCAUACGCACAAAAAUCCUUUGCAAUGCCAGCGUAUGAGUACCGUACAUCUGGCGUACCUCUAACGUAUUCAGCGUGUGCCUAGAGUAUGCUUAUCG